rnacentral:lncRNA from 1 species
CUGCUUCUUGAUCAAUUUUCAAAUUGUUCAAAUAGAUUCUAAAAAUCUGUUCACGACCUCUUAUAUCUGGUUUGUCAAUGGUAAUCUGGCGAUCAAAUCGACCAGGCCUUAACAAUGCUUUGUCUAAUAUAUCAAGUCUAUUUGUGCCAGCAAGCACAACUACACCAGAUGUGGUUGCAAAUCCGUCCAUUUCUACAAGUAGUUGAUUUAAAGUUCUUUCACGUUCAUCAUUUGCUCCAGAAGAGUGUCCCCUCCCUCUUGAACCACCAAUUGCAUCAAUCUCAUCUAUGAAAAUAAUACUAGGUGCACAUCGUCUUGCCUCCCGAAAUAAACUCCUAACUCUACCUGGUCCAAUACCAACAAACAUCUCCAAAAAAUCUGAACCAGAGAUAGAGAGAAAAGGUACACCAGACUCUCCUGCUGUAGCUUUAGCUAAGAGUGUCUUUCCAGUCCCGGGAGGACCCACUAGAAGAGCACCCUUAGGGAUUUUGGCUCCCAACUCCUCAUAUUUCUUGGGAUUCUUAAGGAAGUGGACAAACUCCAUGAUUUCUUGCUUAGCCUCGUCACAUCCAGCCACAUCCUUGAAGAAGACCUGUUCAAUAAAAAUGCCAACUGACUUUAAUUUCCAACUAAUCAUGAAUUAAAACUGAUUCUCAGUGAAAAGAAUGUUGGUUAUUUUAAAGCUGCAUCAAUAAUGGAACUAAAUUCUCACCUUGUUCUUUGCAUUUUUGUCCAUCUUCAUGAAACGCGGUUUACCAAUACCAAAUAUUCCACUAACACCUCCCCAAUCCAUGUAAUAAAGGAUAGCAAGAGGCAAUACCAUUACACCAAACUUCAUCAUUUCUGGCAACCAAUCCAACUCAUUAACAUAUACCACAGGGACAUAAUUGCGAGGGUCUAUUCCAGAGGCUUCUUGGGCUUCCUUAAGCUUCUGCUCAAAUAACACAACAUUCCCAAUGUUGAAAUAAUAUUUGUGGUGGCUCAGGUUUCUACUACUAUUUGUACAAAUUAUAGGACCUUGAACUGUGUUAUCACAAGUUUGAUUAUUAUCAGGUGAAGAAUUCCUUAUAUAAACUGUGGCUACUUCUUUGUUAGCAACAACAAUUCGAUCAACAUGACCAGGUUCAAGUAGCUUGUUUUUGAACUCUUGGAAGCUAAUCUGCGAAUUCACAGAAAAAGAAGUAUCCAUGUCAAAGAGAAAACACAACUAUCCGAUGAGAAUAAGGCAAACAGUUUCCCCCUCCAAGAAAGUAGAAUCCUGCUAAGUCACCAGUCACGACUAAAAAGAUAUAACAUAUACAGAAUUCUGUUGCUUCUUUAAUUUCAUAGCUACACUGUAAAACCUUGAGUAGUAGUUCUUCAACAAUAUAAUCCACCUUAAUAUAUUAUUACUUUUAUAAAUAUUAAUAUAACCAAUUAGAUUAAGAAGAAUAUGUUUCAACUUGGCAAGCUAAAACUGAGAUGAAAUUGUCACGUACUUGACUGAAAUAGCACGAGCAAAGCUUCUUUAUAUGGCAUUUGAUAUAAGUAGUUCUAGUUUUAAAAACAACUAAAUGAAGUUGACUUCAUCUCAAAGACCAACUCAAAACCGAUUCUUCGAAACCAAACUAAGAAUUUCAUCCAUGAAAGUUUCCAAAUUAAACACAUUGAUAGCAGAAAUAAUGCAAUCAACUUAUAUUGAACUCACACUCCUCAAGGCACUAAACUCAUCCUACCAUAAAAGAAAAAGGAGCUGAAACAACGAGAGUUAAAAUCUGUACAACAAACUGUUGGUUAAGGACUAACCUCCUCCGAAUCAAGAUGGUUCAGGAGUAAUAUUGACAACAGAACAGAACCAAUAAACAGAAUCAAUAGUAUAUAGUGAUGCUGCUUCAUGAAGUUCUUUAUUGAUGAAGGUUGCUUCAUGAAGUUCUUUAUUGAUGAAGGUUGCUUCAUGAAGUUCUCCUAAAGGUUUCCUUGUUCACUUACACUUUGCUCUGCCAAAGAUUAAACCAAAGAAACAAAAAUUCACCAUAACAAGCUAAAGGGGAACAAAACAUUAAAAGAAUAAUCUGGAGAAACAGGAAUUAGAGCAGCAACCGACGAAGGGCUGAUCAUGUCAAAUAAUGUUACUUAUCACUUAUUCCACACAUAAAGGUUUUCACACUAGGAAUUUCAAUACGCUGUUCUGAUUAGUAUACAAACACAUUUAGACCAUUGUUAAGACGUAAUAUUAAAAUCAACUGCUUACUACUUUUUCAGUUCAGAAACUCUUAAAAGAAACACAAUAGCAGAAAAUUAACACUCAGCAUAUUCCUGAUAAUUUCCUUUGUCUGCUUUCUACACACCACACAAGAAAAGCACACUCAAAUUCUGCCCAACCUUUCCAUUUCCAUCACCAUUUACAGAUAAAGUAUCUUUGUCUUGGAAUAGCAUAAAUCAUUUAGAUCUCUACAACCCAAACUCUCUUCCACUUUGUAGAUUUCAUAAUCAGUAUUCUCAUCUUCGUAAUAUUCCAAAUGAUUUAGAUCUCUAUUACUAUCUCUAGAAAAUUUCUUAUUGGUUUUGCACGAAGUCUAAUAAUCAAUUUCCUAUGUAGAGUACAUCUACACAUUUCCUUUUGAUAAGUAAAGAACAUCUCGAUUCUAGACAUUAUCUCUAAUAAUACAAAAUUUAUAUAAAUAUGAAUAUAUAUGUAAUGAUAUCGAAUUCAAAAAUUUUAUAUAUUAUAUUGAACAAACUGAGAAAAAAAUUGAUAUAAUUCCUACAAUUAACAUAUCCAAGAAAGUUUUGCUAGAUCACUUCAAAUAAUUUUACUCCAUGUCUCCAUCAUAUGUUCUCUAAUAUCAAAUAUAACUGAUCAGUGACAAUCAAACCGGAAUUAGGGGCUAAUUCCUCAAGUGUUCAUCCCACCAGGGGCUGAGCUAGCAUACUGUUAGGGGUUCACCACCUUCGGCGGAAAAUUCUACGUUAAGAUUAUUUUUUUAUGUAUAUAUUGUAGAUGUCAAACCCCCAUCAAUUAGUUCCUGUAUUCACUUCUUCUGAUUUUGAACCCCAGCUCCACCACUGCAUCCAACUUAAUAAUUUUUCAACAUAAGUUCGUAAACUAAUUUUUAUCACUUUGAAACUAUUAGACUUAUGAUUGGUCUCUCAAAAAUAUAAAAAAUUCAGCUAAAAUACCAAUGUAGCUAAAAAAGAAAACAUUUUUCCCAAACCCUGAAAUACAUUUGGCUCUAGAAAAUGCAAAAUCUAAAAGAUACUGUUCUCCAAUGAGAUUAUUGAUGAUCGUGCCUUAAAGAUUCAUUAUUAUCAACAUAUUCCAUCUCUGUUUCAGCAAAUUACAACCAGGAGCACUGGGCAGAGCUACAAUUUUGUGUAGGUUCAGCAAAACCCGUUAAUUUUGGUUCAAACUCUAUGUUUGUACUUAAAAAUCAAUACGCAUAGUACAUAUAACCUAAUACGCUGAUAAAAAAUUCAGAACCCAUAAACUCAAAAUUCUAGAGCCGCCUCUGAAUUUGAAUAUACAACACGAUGAUUGGUUAGGCUUAUAGAUUUCACCAAAUGGUAGAAAAAAAAUAGUUUAUUAUGGUAUAAUUAAGACCUAGUCUGAUAUUCACCAUUAUUAUCAGAGAGUUUGAUGAACUUACCUGUAAUGUUAGCAGAAAUGGCAAUAUCGAAUGGCUUGGUGGGGGAAGAAAGACCUAGGUGUUAUUAUUUAGAGGAAUUAUACGGAAAUUUAAACAAAUAUAUUGGUCAACAUAAAUAUUAUUAUAUGUAAUAUAACAUUAAAAAUUAUUUUGUGGGUUGUUCUUUUAUUUUUUUUCAAAGAGGUGGGUCAGUGUUUUGUUUUUAGUUGUUGUGAUGGCCAUUUAUCAAGUAAAUGAUUUAUGUUGUAAUAUACUCUAUUAUUAAUAAUAUACAUUUCUCAUUUACUACUGUAAUGAGAAGCUUAAUGCUUAUUUGACAAGGCUAAAUACAUAUAUUUUCAAACAAGUUUAAUCAAAUAUUCAAAAAGCAAGUUUUAAAAUUGAUUCGUUAAACAUGAAUUACUUUUUAUUGAAAGUGAUUUUGAAAAAAAAAUACUUCUCAAAAUAAGUUGAUUUUAGACAUAUAGUCCAUCAACCUAGUAAUCACAUUUAUAUUACGAUUUUUUAGCUUUUAGAUCAUCACACAAACAACAUGAAGCAUUUAUGAUCUUAAAAUAAGUUGAUUUUAAAAGUUAAUUCAAACAAAUUAAUAGUCAUACAAAUAUUAUGAUAUCUUUAAGAUCACAGGUUUUUCAAAGGAGUCAUAAUUAGACAAAUGUUACGAUAUAUUUAUGAUAAUAAAUUUUAAAAGUUUUCAUUUUUUUAAGUUUUAUUGUCUCGAUCUCAUAUUAUUUAUUAAAAAUAAGUAUCUCAAAUUAUUUAUCAAUUUAUAAAAUAAGGACAAAAUUAAUCAACUUUUUUCUUGUUUUAUGUUUAAAAUUAAUUUUUUGAAAGUUGAGAUGUUAUAAAAUUCCAAAACAUAUUAUAUUAUUAUUGUUGGUAUUGAUAGAUAAGUUGCAAGAUAUAUGCCUAAAUUGACUUUAUUACCAACUUUGAAUUUUGACAUGGAUAACUGUAAUCACUAUAAUAUGAUAUUUGUCAUUUGUUCUAGAUUAGCAAUUGUUUAUUAAAUAUACUAAAUAGUAAUCUAGACAGCCUAAGUAAAUGAUUUACUUGUAUAAGGGUCCUUCCCACGAAUAUCUUUAUGUUGGAUGGUGUUUAAUUUUUAUUUUUUAAAUUGCAGUUUUUAUUUUUUUCUCUUUUUAACACUUAACAAAAGAUGAUUAAGAAUAUCUCAGUUAUUGAAAAAACAAACGACUUUCGAAAAUAUUCAUAUUUAUGUAUCAUAAUAUUUCACAAAUUAUGCCAUUAAAAAAAUAUAAAAAAAAGUUGAUCUUUACCGAAGUAACUAAGAUUUUUUUGUCUUAAUAAGUUCGUUUUAUAGUAUUCCAUGAAUCAUGUUAAAUGCUAGGAGGACAUAAUAUAUUUUCCACAAAAAAAUUAUAGUAAAUUCCGAAAAAUGAGUGCAUAACUAAAUUUCUACAUAGUUUAGGUCAAAUGAGACAAAAGUGAUCAAAAAUCAUGUCGAGCAAAUUAGAUGUGAAUAAAUAAGAAUAAAUUAAUCCAUAAAUUUCAUUAGAAAAAACUAAAUACCUUCAAAUUUGAGAAUACAACGAGAAGUAUGAUCCAGAAAUGAUAAAAUGUACGCAAAUAAGUAAAGAAGUUGUUAUCGAAAAAAGAUACUUGGAUCGGGUAUCAAUUACACGAAGUAUGAUCAAGAAACGAUAGAAUAUACGUAAAUAGGUAGAGAGGUCAUUUUUGAAAAAAUGAAUCAGGUAUUGAUUACACGAUUGAUAGUGACCGUAUAAUUUUGUUUUACCUCAAGACUACGACACCGAAAAAGAGAAACUUAACUUCAGUUAAAAUUCGAAUGUCAUUAGGAACCCAAAUUAGUUCACAAAAAUCUCUUUUCCUUUUUUUAUUUUCCUUUUUGUAAUAAAUGGUUCUUUUGGGUACAAAAACUAGUAAAAACCACGUUUGUGUUAUCAAUGUCAUGACUAAGGAUUUUUACAACAAUCUAAAAUUGGACGUUAAUACCACUACACUGCAUUCUCAAUUACCAACCACAACUAUACUGGGACAAUCUCCGGUUCAACAGGCGAUGAUGAUCCAUCAUCUUGUGCGGUUUUUGACUCAGCGCUAUCUUUGUUCUCUUCUUCGAAUCCUUGCUUGAACCUGUCAUAGUUUGUGGCCUCAACACUCGUGAAUGGGCGUUCACCCAAUACCUGGAUCAGAUCUUCUUGGUGGAGGACUUCCUUUUCAAGCAGCAUUUCUGCAAUCUGAGCCACAUGUUCUCUGUGUUCCUCCACGAGUUGUACAGUACGGUCAUAUGCCUUGGCUACCCAUUCUCUAACUUCAGUGUCGAUAAUUGCUGCUGUCUUGCUACCAUAAGGCUUUGCGUCAAAUGAAUCUUCUCUUUGUGGAAACGAAAGGAGACCAACCUUGUCACUGAAACCAUAUACUGCUACCUGGGCAUAAGUCAUCUUGGUGACUUUCUCUAAAUCAUUUUGAGCUCCAGUCGAGAUCUUCCCAAUCAAUACCUACUCAAAAAAAUAAUCAUAUAAAGAUUGUAAAUAUCUAAUUCACUGCCUUUUCAAUAAGGUAGUAUCCAGACGUCUCAAAAAGAAAAAAGUGCCAUGAGCCAUUCAAAGUUUAAAAACCAAGCUUAAAUAAGUUCAAAUGAUCUUCAACUCUGUAACUCAAAACCUUCUGCCCCUUGCAAAGCACAAGAUUUAGAUUACAGAAUAACAGCAAAUUUAAAGACAUAUCUCUGCAGAGCAUGAAAGAAAUUCUACACAUGUGCCAAAGGAGUAGGGAUGGCACUCAAGGACGAUGAAGCAUUAACCAGCCUAAGUUCUAAAACCAAAAAGAGAACACUGAUCAUGUAAAAACACAUAUUUCAUGAGAAAGGUAAAAGAAAAUAUAUGAUACAACUAGAAAAUAACUGAACCAAGCAGUAGCCAUGGUAAAAAUAAAAAGGUGGCAUAUUACUUGGUGAAGUAGAUUCACCUUUCAAUCAAUCAAAAUCCCUUCCCGAACUGUACAAGCUUUUUCUUCCAAAGCAUACAAAUCUCUUACGUCUCAUCCUCCCGUACCCGUCGCUGCCUGGCCUCCCUCUGUCCCAUUAUAUGUGAUGGUGUUUGGCUAUGCAUGAAGUUAAAGAAAGACGGACUUUUGAAACUUGUGGUCUAAAACAAGUCAUUAGACAAUGUUUGGCUAUAAAUCCUCUUAUUAUUAAGGGUAUAAUUAGAAGUUUAAAGUUAAAUCAUUUCUCAAUAUAAAAAAGGUGUCAAUUGUUUUUGGCACCGACCGGAAGGAUAGUGUGCCACGUAAAAUGGGAUAGAGGUAUACAGUUUUGAUGUUUUCUUUGUUUUUUCUAUUUAAGGGUUUCAAGAUUUUAACAAUAUACCAAAUAUAAUCCCACAAAGUAAGGUCUGGAAUUUCAAGUUUUUGAUUGUUAAAAAUAAAGCUAGAGUCCGUAACGAGCCUACCCCUUGCCUUGCCGGCACUAUAGCUCAAAAUUUUGGUGGAAAUGCCCAGUCCUGCUAUGUUUAAAAGCCCACCUACCUCGUCCCACUAACCCCCCUCCCCCCCGGUCCCUACAAGAAGUGGCUUCAAGAUAUCAAAUUUGCUUUAGAUCAGGGGCUUAGACUGCUUUGCAUGAAUGGUUUCAUACAUGCAUCAAAUGUGUACUAUUUUUUUUUUUUGAGACAAGGGAAAUCCGCAGCCGCUACCCUCUGAGUCGCCCAAGACAAAACCCCCCUCCUAUGCAAUAGCUCGCAAACCACGUAGGAGAGGUAACCCUCAUUAAGCAAGCUCGGUGCGAUGAGCUCGACCCAGAAGGCAAACCCCUUGCUUUCGCUGGCAAGGGGUUUCGAACUUGAGACCUCCAACAUGGAAGUCCCAAGCCCAAACCACUAGGCCACCGGAAGGGUCUGUGGUUUACUAUUUUCUUCAAUAAAUCAAGUCUUAAUGCCAAUAGGGUAAACAUAUGAAAGCAAAGAGAGUUGAUAGUUUUACCUGCUCAGCAGCUCGGCCACCGAGAGUCAUGCAUGUCAUAUCAAACAGUUGUUCUUUAGUCAUUAGAAGGUUCUCACUAGGAACAUACUGAGCAAAUCCAAGGGCUGCUGUACCACGGGGAACAAUUGUCACUUUAAGUAAUGGCUCUGCAUGUUCCAAGAACCAACCAGUAACAGCAUGCCCAGCUUCGUGAUAGGCAACUGUCCGCCUUUCCAGCUUACUUAUGACCUGACGAAACCACAAAUGUUACUUUGAAUUAUAUUAUUAUUUAUACAACACAUCCAGCGUGAUCUCACAAGUGGGGACUGGAGAGGGUAGAGUGUACGCAGGCCUUACCCCCUAAUAUCAAACUAGUAGAAAGACUGUUUCCUAAAGACCCUAGGCUCAAAUGCAGCAAAUCAAAAUUAUUAAAUGAUCAAAUUAGAAAAUCAUUUCUAUAUUUCUAUUUUGAUUCUAUAAAAAUGCAAGUUUCAUUUUUGAAUGAAGUUAGACGCGAAUUAGUUGACUUGAAGAGAACACGUCAACUAAUAAGGAAAGCAGUACAAAACAUUCAGAAAAUUCAAGAUAAAAGAGCAGUAACAACAGAAAAAUAUUUGUUCCAUUUGCAAGUCCUUACUAAUAUCUAAAGAUUGCCUAAUAUCUAAAGAUUGCCCACCAGCAAUUUUCAAAAGCAUCUCAAAAAAUGUUGAUCCCAAGCAUACAUCACUCAGGUCGACAUUCACCAAAGUUCCCUUUUUAUAUUGAGUAAAAAGAAAAGACACUGAAGCAAAAGGAAAAAAAAAGAAUCAUCUAAUGUCAUCAACAAGAAAGUAAAAAAGGUGUCGAAGCAAAGAAUAUCAUGCAUGAAACCCACUGUCUGCUUAUGCCACUGGUGAUGAACUCACUAUGGCUAUUUAAUGACAGACUCAUUUUUCCUUACUACAUAUGCAGCUAAACGAAGCCCCAAUCUUUAUUUUUCAAACCCCAACUGCCUUAUUAAAAGGCCAACAUUUUCGGAGGGGUGGGGUGGGUUAGGACACAAACAGAAGGUUAACAAUAACCAGGGACCGUACCACACAAAGUAGCUCUUAGAGUCCUUGGGUGUAGCAUCAAAUGACAAAAGGCUCAAUAAAUAUAGACAAGAUUUCCUACUCAAUUGGAUCCAAAACAGUUCAAACGCAUUGGAUGACAGAAUAUUCAGAAGACGUACUACUCUAGAAGUAUAAAUUCAGAUGAGCAAUAUUAGACAGGCUAAAUAAUUUCUUCCAAUGCAGUAACAUCUUCCUGUACAAUUUUAAUAGUAGACAGCUUGAAUAAUUCCUUAAAAUACAGUGCCAUCUUCCAAUAAUUCUUGCAAUAUUAGACAGGUCGAGAAUAUUGAAAUGCCAGGUUCAGGUGUGAGUUAGGACUAAAAUUAGUUCCAGUAAGCACUGAAAGAAACGGUGACAUGUUUAGGGGGAUCCCUAGGUAUUUUGCCAAAUUUUGAAGUAUCCUAUCUUGUGCCACAGUGGUUUACCCCAAGCCUCCAAGAGACUGUUCACCAACCUCGCAUGCUCUUCUCAUUACAGAAAGAACUCAAUAGUGUGACUGAAUUACAGUAAAAAUCCUAAUAUGAACAGGUAAAAUAUUUUCCACACUAAUUAUAAAACAAAAGAGAAAUUUACUUGUUAAAAAUUGAGGCAAUUUGUCUAAAUUCAGAUGGUAGAACAUUGUAUCAACAUCCUAAUUGUUCCCCAAGGAAAUAAAGCAAACCUCUCCUAUAAAUACACUCAUCUAAGCAAACCUCUCCUACAAAUACAGUCAUCUAAGCAAACCUCUACUAAGCAGUAGAUUUAUAAUGCUCCAGUACCUACGGAUAUUGGUCCAAUGCACUUUCAAGGAUAAGUUAAAUGAAUCCUAUCAUUAUAAUAAAAACAAAUGGCUUUGACAACCAAGAUGCAGAAAAAGAUGAACAGAACAUCAUACAAAAUGCUGCUGGUGUAACGAUGCAACAUGCUUCCCUAUGUUGUUAUGUAAACAUGGGAUAGAAAAGUAUAUAGUGGAGGGGGAAGUGAGAAGAUCCAAUACCUUAUUCUUCUUCUCUAAACCGCCAAUCACCCUGUCUAUUGCUGACUCAAAAUGUUGCAUGGUAAUUAUUGUACUCUCAUUCCUGGCAGCUAUUAGAGCAGCUUCAUUACAAACAUUUGCAAUGUCUGCUCCAGCAAAUCCUGGUGUUAGAGCAGCAAGUCUCUGUGAAUAAAAUGCUGCCUCGUGGUCAAGUUUCAACUUGUUGAGAUAGAUUCUGAAAAUUUGUUCACGGCCUUUGAUGUCUGGUUUAUCAAUGGUAAUUUGGCGAUCAAAUCGACCAGGCCUUAAUAAGGCUUUGUCUAAUAUAUCAGGUCUAUUUGUGCCAGCAAGUACAACUACACCAGAUGUGGUUGCAAAUCCAUCCAUUUCUACAAGCAGUUGAUUUAAAGUACUUUCACGUUCAUCAUU